CUAAUACCGGAUACGACACGAAGAGGCAUCUCUAUCGUGUGGAAAGUUUUUCGGUCUGGGAUGGACUCGCGGCCUAUCAGCUUGUUGGUGAGGUAAUGGCCCACCAAGGCGACGACGGGUAGCCGGCCUGAGAGGGCGACCGGCCACACUGGGACUGAGACACGGCCCAGACUCCUACGGGAGGCAGCAGUGGGGAAUAUUGCACAAUGGGCGCAAGCCUGAUGCAGCGACGCCGCGUGAGGGAUGAAGGCCUUCGGGUUGUAAACCUCUUUCAGCAGGGAAGAAGCGAAAGUGACGGUACCUGCAGAAGAAGCACCGGCUAACUACGUGCCAGCAGCCGCGGUAAUACGUAGGGUGCGAGCGUUGUCCGGAAUUAUUGGGCGUAAAGAGCUUGUAGGCGGUUUGUCGCGUCUGCUGUGAAAAUCCGGGGCUCAACCCCGGACUUGCAGUGGGUACGGGCAGACUAGAGUGUGGUAGGGGAGACUGGAAUUCCUGGUGUAGCGGUGAAAUGCGCAGAUAUCAGGAGGAACACCAGCGGCGAAGGCGGCGCUCUGGGCCGGAACUGACGCUGAGGAGCGAA
rnacentral:rRNA from 1 species